AUUCCUUGGCGUGAUAGUGUCAACAGCCUGGGGACACAGACACUGGCUGGGGUCAAGGUCCCACCAGCAUUUGGAGACUCCCUCCAGCCCACCAGUAUCAAAAGCAAACAAGAGAUAAUAACAAAAUGUUGGAAGAUGGAGGCAGGUGGAGGCAGAUGGAUGAAACUAAUGGUCUUGAGUUCCAACUUCCUUCACUUUGCUAAGUACCUAUGGAAGGAAGGGAAAUCAAGGGAAAAAAAAUGCUGAUUUACAUUACAUAGCCCUAGAAAAGUUGAGCAAUUAGAGACACUGGUUAUUUUUAACAAAUGGGUUUUAGGGUGGAAUUGAAAACAAGAACCAGCUAAAAGAUUUAUAAAGAGGAGUUAGACCUUCAAAUUCCCUUCUUCAGCCCAUCUCCUAUUUCACAAAGAUGGGAAGUUGGCUUUCAAAAGAUGCUUCAGAGAGGCUACUCACAUAGGACCAAAAGGCAGAAGUAGCAGAAGUACAAUCCAGAAAAUGAGGGUGCAAGUGGGGAGCGCAAGUCAAAGUCUGCUCGAAAGUAAAUCCUAUUGAGCUUCCCAAAUGCUGGCUUAUGCCCCUAAGGCAAUACUUCUCAACUUAAAAAAAAAAUCGCCUAAGGAGUCUUUGUAGAUAGAUAUUUUUCCUAACUCCCACCCCUUAAUUAAUUACAUUAAGUAUUAAAAAGAUAAAUUUAAUGUCAGAUAACACCCAGUUAAAGAAAGUUCAGAUAACACCCAGUGAAAGAAAGAAUGGGUGAAUUAGAAGGUGGGUUAGAAAAAACAUCCAGAAGAAAGCACAGAGAGACAAAAGGAUAGAAAUUUAUUCAUAAGAGAAUAAAAGACACAGAGGAUAUAGUGAAAAGAUCAUACGCAAACAUAAAUGGAGUCCCAGAAGGAGAGAUAAUGAAGGCAGGAACAAUGUUUGAAGAGAAUAUAGCUAAGAAUUUCCCAAAACUGAUAGAAGACAUGAAGCUUCAAAAAUUUAAGAAACUCUGGGAACCCCAAGCAAAAUAAAAAGAAAAUCAUAUCUAUGUAAAGCUCCUAAAUAUGAAAGACUAACAGAAAUUCAUAAAAGCAACUUAGCCUUAAAAGAGACCAUUUUCGGCCGGGUGUGGUGACUCAUGCCCAGCACUUUGGGAGGUGGAGGCAGGCAGAUCAUGAGGUCAGGAGUUCAAGACCAGCNNNNNNNNNNAAAAAAAAAAAAAAGACAGACCACUUUCAAAAGGGCAACAACAAGACGAACAGCUAACUUGACAUCCUAACAGUGGAGGACGGAAGACAACAGAAUCAUAUCUUUGAUGUGCUGAAAGAGAGUAAAUGUCACCUAGAUUCUCCAGCGAGUGAAAAUAUCCCUCAACAAGUAAAGAUGAAGAGAUAACAGUGUUCUUCGGGAAAAAGAAAAAUGAUCUCAGAUAAAACCCAAAAUGUAGGGAAAAAAAUGAAGAGAAAAAAGAGCAGGGGGUGGAAUGCGUGGUGAGAGCUAAUGACUGCAUUAAACAAUAAUAUCUGUAAAGUUAAAAAUACUCAUAGUAUCUGAAAGUAUCUAACAACAGCAACAGAUAUGUUGAGGGGGGUUAAAUGGACUUCAAAUGUUCUAAGAAUCCUGUACUGUCCAAAAAAAAAGAUAAAAGUACAAUUUUUUUUUAUUUUUAUUUUUAUUUUUUUUGAGAAGGAGUCUUACUCUGUCACCCAAGCCGGAGUGCAGUGGCACAGUCUCGGCUCACUGCAACUUCCACCUCCCGGGUUCAAGCAGUUCUCUGCUUCAGCCUCCCGAGUAGCUAGGAUUACAGGCACCUGCUUGUAAUAUUAACUCACACACUCAGAAGUUUCAAGCUUUUCCAAUUAAAAUAAUUUUAUAGAUUAGUAGUUUUAAGCUCUGUUUAAUUUACAUCUAAUCUCACCUAUGAGGAAGCAGGCCCUCACCAAACACGAAAUCAGCCGUUGCCUUGCUCUUGGACUUCACAAUCUCCAGAACUGUGAGACAUAAAUUUCUGUCAUUUAUAAGCCAUCCAGCCUAUUGUAUUUCAUUAUGGCAGCCUGAGCAGACUAGGACAACAUCUGUCAAUGAGUUACUACUU
rnacentral:lncRNA from 1 species